rnacentral:lncRNA from 1 species
ACGAGGAAAGGUUAAACUAGGCAACUGAAAACUGAAUCUUGGUAGCCGAUAGGUCUUAAGCGAUGGACACAAUGCAGACAGUGUUGUCCGACGAUAUCCCAACAGCAUAAGUUCGAUUCCCGGCGAGGUAAACACACGCCUCCACAUAUUUGUAGAUUAAACAUUGGUGUGCUGAUAUUUAUAGUUGUUAAAAAUAUAUUUAUAAACAUAUGUAAAAAGGGGGGAUUAAAGACACCAAGCAAACCAUGAAUUUCAUUUAUAUAGCUUACUAUCCGGUAUGUGUUUUGCUCACUGUUGAAAACCGUAUGGUGCGGACAGUCAAUUGCUAGCUACUACACCAUUUGGUCUCUGCAUGUUGGUGACUGAGUUGUCACAUUGAAAAUCAUACCACAUUUUCUUUAUUUUCUAAAUGGUUUUGUCAAGAGGCAAUGA